rnacentral:snRNA from 1 species
UCAUUUUAGCAUGUAUAUGCUAAACUCGGAAGAGUAUAGAGAUUAGCACAGCCCUGUGCAAGGAUGAUAGUCAAAUUUAUGAGAUAUUCCGUGUUAUG